rnacentral:rRNA from 1 species
AUUGAACGCUGGCGGCAGGCCUAACACAUGCAAGUCGAGCGAGCGGCGGACGGGUGAGUAAUGUAUGGGGAUCUGCCUUAUGGAGGGGGAUAACUACUGGAAACGGUAGCUAAUACCGCAUACCUUCAGCUGAUCCCAUGUGGGAUUAGCUUGUAGGUAAGGUAACGGCUUACCUAGGCGACGAUCCCUAGCUGGUCUGAGAGGAUGAUCAGCCACACUGGGACGGAGACACGGCCCAGACUCCUACGGGAGGCAGCAGUGGGGAAUAUUGCACAAUGGGCGAAAGCCUGAUGCAGCCACGCCGCGUGUAUGAUGAAGGUCUUCGGGUUGUAAAGCACUUUCAGUAGGGAGGCGUUACCGACAGAAGAAGCACCGGCUAACUCCGUGCCAGCAGCCGCGGUAAUUC